rnacentral:rRNA from 1 species
UACAGAGGGGGCAAGCGUUGUUCGGAAUUACUGGGCGUAAAGGGCGCGUAGGCGGCCUUCUAAGUCGAACGUGAAAUCCCCGGGCUCAACCCGGGAACUGCGUCCGAUACUGGAAGGCUUGAAUCCGGGAGAGGGAUGCGGAAUUCCAGGUGUAGCGGUGAAAUGCGUAGAUAUCGGGAGGAACAUCAGUGGCGAAGGCGGCCUUCUGGUCCAGUACUGACACUCAAGUGCGAAAGCGUGGGGAGCAAACAGG